rnacentral:lncRNA from 1 species
UUCAGCCACAAAUAAAGAAUCUGGUGCUAGUGUAGGUGCAGGAAAUUUUGUCAAGAACCAUACAGAAAAACUUGUUCACUUGCCAGAUGUUUCAGGUCAAUUAGCAUCAGUAAUUCCAGCUAAACCAGUCCAGAUUGGAGGACUUGGAGUUUCAAGUGGAGUUGGGAAGCUGGAAUCAUUGCCUACCAUACGUAGUCCACAGUUGUCUUUUCAGGAUGGUUCUGCUCUUGGAUCAUCUCUG